rnacentral:rRNA from 1 species
CUACGGGUGGCUGCAGUGAGGAAUAUUGGUCAAUGGGCGCAAGCCUGAACCAGCCAUGCCGCGUGAAGGAUGACGGCCCUAUGGGUUGUAAACUUCUUUUAUACGGGAAGAAACGCCUCUACGUGUAGAGGUUUGACGGUACCGUACGAAUAAGCAUCGGCUAACUCCGUGCCAGCAGCCGCGGUAAUACGGAGGAUGCAAGCGUUAUCCGGAUUUAUUGGGUUUAAAGGGUACGUAGGCGGAAGAUUAAGUCAGUAGUGAAAUCCUGCAGCUUAACUGUAGAACUGUUAUUGAUACUGGUUUUCUUGAAUGUAGUUGAGGUAGGCGGAAUAAGUAAUGUAGCGGUGAAAUGCUUAGAUAUUACUUAGAACACCGAUUGCGAAGGCAGCUUACUAAGCUAUGAUUGACGCUGAGGUACGAAAGCGUGGGGAGCGAACAGGAUUAGAUACCCCGGUAGUC